UCUCCUGGAAACGGGUGGUAAUGCCGGAUGUUCCACAUGAUCGCAUGUGAUUGUGGGAAAGAUUCUAUCGGCGUGGGAUGGGGUCGCGUCCUAUCAGCUUGUUGGUGAGGUAACGGCUCACCAAGGCUUCGACGGGUAGCCGGCCUGAGAGGGCGACCGGCCACAUUGGGACUGAGAUACGGCCCAGACUCCUACGGGAGGCAGCAGUGGGGAAUAUUGCACAAUGGGCGCAAGCCUGAUGCAGCGACGCCGCGUGAGGGAUGGAGGCCUUCGGGUUGUAAACCUCUUUUGUUUGGGAGCAAGCCUUCGGGUGAGUGUACCUUUCGAAUAAGCGCCGGCUAACUACGUGCCAGCAGCCGCGGUAAUACGUAGGGCGCAAGCGUUAUCCGGAUUUAUUGGGCGUAAAGGGCUCGUAGGCGGCUCGUCGCGUCCGGUGUGAAAGUCCAUCGCUUAACGGUGGAUCUGCGCCGGGUACGGGCGGGCUGGAGUGCGGUAGGGGAGACUGGAAUUCCCGGUGUAACGGUGGAAUGUGUAGAUAUCGGGAAAGAACACC
rnacentral:rRNA from 1 species